AGCAGUAGGGAAUAUUGGGCAAUGGGCGAGAGCCUGACCCAGCCAUGCCGCGUGCAGGAAGAAGGCUUUCUGAGUCGUAAACUGCUUUUGACAGGGAAGAAUAAGGACUACGUGUAGUCUGAUGACGGUACCUGCAGAAUAAGCACCGGCUAACUCCGUGCCAGCAGCCGCGGUAAUACGGAGGGUGCGAGCGUUGUCCGGAUUUAUUGGGUUUAAAGGGUGCGUAGGCGGCCGUUUAAGUCCGGGGUGAAAGCCCGCUGCUCAACAGCGGAACUGCCCUGGAUACUGGACGGCUUGAGUACAGACGAGGUUGGCGGAAUGGACUGAGUAGCGGUGAAAUGCAUAGAUACAGUCCAGAACCCCGAUUGCGAAGGCAGCUGACUAGGCUGUUACUGACGCUGAGG
rnacentral:rRNA from 1 species